AUGCAGUCCUAUCUUAAUCGGGAAGUCAUUAGUGUCGACAUCACUUGUUCGAACACUUGUCACAACAUUAUCGUACAUGUCCUUGAUGAGGGUAAUGUACUUUGCUGGGACUUUGUGUUUCUCCAAGCCCCACCACAUGACAUUCUGCGGUAUCUUAUCAUAGGCCUUCUCCAAGUCAAUGAACACCAUAUGCAAGUCCUUCUUUUGCUCCCUAUAUCUCGCCAUAAGUUGUCAUACCAAGAAAAUGGCUUCCAUGGUCGACCUCCCAGGCAUGAAACGAAACUGAUUUUUGGUUACGCUUGUCAUUCUUCUUAA
rnacentral:rRNA from 1 species